GUGUGACGGCCAAUUUUUGACAAAGUCUAAGAGAGUCUCUUCACUUGGACUUUAAAACUUACAGUUCCUACAAUAAGGAAUAGCUCCAGUUAACUCCAUCUUUCUUUCUUCCUCACAGAGUGUUUGCAUAACUUGCGAUCUUACGAAAGGCUGGAAAUUGAACCAAUACUACUCUACUAAGAUCUCUAAAAGGGUCCUUACUGCAUACUCAAAUCUGCCAUCAGUGCAGGCAGUGAACUGUAACGAAUGCUGUCUCUCUUCAGCAAAGGACCUGUACAGGUUGCACAGGGAAGUGCCUAGGAGAAGCAUAGCCAGCAAGUUAAGGCGAACUGCGCAGAAGUGAGAUGUGCAAAGGAGGUGAAAAUGGACAGGCAGGAAUCUCUGUACUUGAACUCAACACAAACUUACACCUAAUGGAUCUGACCACUGGAAAGGAGACAGGCGGGCAAGUGGUGGUGUCACAUGAUUAAAGAAAGCACUGAAACCUUCAUCGAUGGAAAUCAGACCGAAGGUAGAGCCUAUGGGUGAAGGCGCGGUGAAGAUGUUGCAAUAAUCCUGGCGAAAGCCGAUCCUCCAGGGUCCAACAGAAGUAGUUCCUGUGGGGCUGCAUAGGUACUUGGAGCCUCUGAAACCUCCUCAAAUUAAGAGGUCAGGGAGAAGCCGGGAGAGCGAGGCCCUCGUCGCCAGGCGAGGUGCGGUGCUCAGGCUGCUUUUCCUCCCACCGGUGACCUGGGUGUCACCACCACAGCCGGACAGCCAGCGAGCAGCCGCUGUGCGCAGGGGACGCGGGUCCACCGGCCGCGGACAUCGCUCCC
rnacentral:lncRNA from 1 species